AACAAAAACAUGUCCUUUAGAAUAGAAUUUAAGGUCUAACCUGCCCAUUGAGGAAUUUAACGGCCGCAGUAUUUUGACUGUGCAAAGGUAGCAUAAUCAUUAGUUUUUUAAUUGAAAGCUUGUAUGAAUGGUUGGACGAGAUAUAAACUGUCUUUAAAUUAAAAUUAGAAUUUAAUUUUUAAGUUAAAAAGCUUAAAUAUUAUUAAAAGACGAGAAGACCCUAUAAAUCUUUAUAAAUUUAUUUAAAUAAUUUUUUAGGAUUUUUAAUUUUUAUAUAAAUAGAUUUAUUUUAUUGGGGUAAUAAAAAGAUUUAAAUAAUUCUUUUAAAUAAUUACAUUGAUUAGUGUUUUUAAAUGAUCCUAUAUUAUAGAUUAUAAGAUUAAGUUACUUUAGGGAUAACAGCGUAAUUUUUUUAGAGAGUUCUUAUCGAUAAAAAAGUUUGCGACCUCGAUGUUG
rnacentral:rRNA from 1 species